GGAAAUCUCACCAGGCCCGGACACUGGAAGGAUUGACAGAUUGAUAGCUCUUUCUUGAUUCAGUGGGUGGUGGUGCAUCGCCGUUCUUAGUUGGUUGAGUGAUUUGUCUUGUUAAUUCCGAUAACGAACGAGACCUUAACCUGCUAAAUAGUGACGCGGUUCAUCGAACCGUGGGCCACUUCUUAGAGGGACUAUCGGAUUCAAACCGAUGGAAGUGUGAGGCAAUAA
rnacentral:rRNA from 1 species